UACGUAGGGCGCAAGCGUUGUCCGGAAUCAUUGGGCGUAAAGAGCUCGUAGGCGGCCUGUCGCGUCCGCUGUGAAAUCCCGGGGCUUAACCCCGGGCGUGCAGUGGAUACGGGCUGGCUGGAGGCAGGCAGGGGAGAACGGGAAUUCCCGGGUAUGAGCGGUGAAAUGACGCAGAUAUCGGGAGGAACACCGGUGGCGAAGG
rnacentral:rRNA from 1 species